GUUUAUUUAUAGGCAGCACGGUACAUUUAAGGCAUCAGUCAGGCUAGUAAUAUAUGACUUCUAAUCUGUAAAAACCUAACAAAAAUUGUUCCUAAUUGCUUGUGAAAGCUGUGCCUGCUCCAUCCCCUCUUUAAAUAGAGAUCUGGCAGAUCUGCAGUGACCCACGGGCCUACCGGCUGCCUUAAGGGCUGAGAUGAGGAACUUUCCCCCAAACCUCAGCUAUUCCCCAUGACAAACCAAUCCUAAGGGGCAGCUGACAAACCCAAAUCACCCCGUAUCUCGAUAUUCCUCUCAUCCAGCCCCCCCGAGCGAUCCGUUCUGUGGUGUUGCCAUAGAAAAUGGCAAGGAAGCCUCCAAUUAGAGAAGAGGUCACACUUAAGCAGGGAUAUUAUGUAAAUAACAGCCUGCCAGCACCCGUCACGGAAAAAAAUCAAAUCAAAUAAAGGCCUCAUCUUGCGAGUCUUCCGAGGGCAGGCCUGGGAUUUGCUCCUGGGAUCCCCAGGGAGCAGGGCUGGGCUGACAGGAGCCGGGCUGGGCCCCAGGUAGGGCGAGCAGGAGGGCGGCGGGGCGCCGGGCAUGGCUGUGCGCCCCUCCCGACCCGGGGGGGCACGGAGAAUGGAAGAGAAUAUGUGCUUGAGGCUCGCAGGCCCAGGCUUCGUUUCCAACCAGGCUGCCUCUUCGGCGCUGUCGUACCUUGGCUUCGAACACACCCGAGCUGAAGCGCUGCUUGUGAGUACGUGUGUGAUGGGCCAGGUUCGGUGGCUGGCCAAGUCCACGCAGCAGAAAUGUGCUUCGAUGGCUUCGGAACAAAUGUCUUCCAGAACUCAGAUAUUUGACAACUAUCCCAGUGUUUCAUUGUUGUGUGUACUUCAACAUGUUCCAUUAGCGGCACAGCCAUAA
ensembl:lncRNA